rnacentral:rRNA from 1 species
AUUGAACGCUGGCGGCAGGCCUAACACAUGCAAGUCGAGCGAGCGGCGGACGGGUGAGUAAUGUCUGGGAAACUCCCUGAUGGAGGGGGAUACCUACUGGAAACGGUAGCUAAUACCGCAUACCAUCAGAUGUGCCCAGAUGGGAUUAGCUAGUAGGUGGGGUAACGGCUCACCUAGGCGACGCUCCCUAGCUGGUCUGAGAGGAUGACCAGCCACACUGGAACUGAGACACGGUCCAGACGCCUAGGGGAGGCAGCAGAGGGGAAUAUUGCACAAUGGGCGCAAGCCUGAUGCAGCCGUGCCGCGUGUGUGAAGAAGGCAUUCGGGUUGUAAAGCACUUUCAGCGGGGAGGCGUUACCCGCAGAAGAAGCACCGGCUAACUCCGUGCCAGCCGCCGCGGUAAUAC